ACUCCGAACGGGUCUCCUCGGCCUCGCAGAGCCUUUUGGGGGCUUCCCAGUACGCACUGCUAGGGCUGGGAAGCCCUUCAACGGCGGUAGACAGGGUCCGGCGCGCGCUGGGCGGGUGCGUGGGCAGGCCCAUGCCGAGGCCAGUGGGCAACGCCGCGCGCCGCCUCGCCAUUUGCAGCCGGAAGCUGAAGCCCUCCAUCCCGCCCAUUGCGGGGGAGAUGUUAACGACCAACAGCUUCGCGCGAGGCCACAGGCCUGGCGUCGGUGGAGAGGGGCUUCGCGCAGUUUGGGGUGGGCCAGAUGGGCCGGAGGUGUAGCCAGGAACGGACAGAUGUCCGUCUCUUAAGUCUUAGGUUUUAAUCGUGAAGCUGAUCCCUGGUUCAUUGUGAUCCUUCUCACGCUGUCCAUUUGACAUAAGAAACCCGAGAAAGGAAUGUACUUGUCUGAAGUCCCACAGUCUGUUAGUGGCACAGUCAGGACUAGAGAAUUUAGCUCCUGAAGCCGAGAUCAAUGCUCUUUCUGCCACAUCAGCCUGAGAACUUUGAGUUUUGCAGUGUUUUGGGGAAGAUGCUCCCGUGAAACAAUGAACAGGAAAAACCUGAAGAAGCCUCACAUUUUCUGCUAGCGAGAAAAGCCAAAAUGUCUUCCACAGAUUAUCUAUUUGCAAUGAAUAAAAAAGGAUUUAAUUUUAGUGAUGGAGAUUAACUGCCCGUGAAUCACCACCUUACACAAAACUGAAACCUUUGACAAUACAAAGGGUAACUUCCUUAGUGUUUCUAUACCUUUGCUUACUAUCACCGAGGCUAGUUGGCUUUUCACAGCCAUUUCUUCAUCUCUUCAUGAUCCUUGCGACCCAGCUACUCUACCCAAUGGAGACACAGGGCUACUCUCACAAACCACUUGAUAACGUCUAGCACACCAGCCUUAAAACCUAAGCAUCAAACUGUGUCCUAGCAAAAUUACAAAUUGUUACAUGUCGUGGAGUUUGGGAAUUGGUCCUGAAUAGCUGGAACCACAAAUGUUAAAUCUGUGAUUGCUUCAAGCCUUCUGCAUAACUACGGCUUGGCCUGAAGGCAAGGGCUGUAUGUUUGCAUGUAACUUUAUGGAUUCAAUACUUAGAAACACAAGGAGUGUUCAGCUAUUGAUGACGGAGAAAUCCACCUCUCUUCCUAGGUUAUGAGAAUAGCUAUGCAUCUCUAGAUCUGCGGUUUUCCACAUCCUUUUGUCCUAAUCCCUCAGUCCACUCCCAAUUCUACCAUAGUAGGGUCUUUAUAGCCCUACAACAGGGUAUGAUGAUGUGCAUAAAAACACAGUGUAGAUAUGGCUAAGAAUGCCGCACGUAAAAUUGGGAUAAAAGGAACAGAUGUUAUUGUCUUGUGGUUGAAGGUUAAUAACAGCUGAAGUAAAAGUUGAGCUCCUGAGCACUCUUUGGCAUUCAUUUGUAUGUCAGAGGUCCUAAGAGCGGGCCUGAAAAAAAAGAAAGGAGUAGACUGUUCAAAUCUCCCUAUUCAAGUGAUUAACAAGUAUACGAGUGUUUUAGAAUGACCUUCUGUGACUUGCAACACUACAGACUCUGCCUUUCUAAGCCCUAAAUUCACUGAACCAAAUCUCUGGCUGCUGUCUGUGUCAGAUGGAAAGGGCAAGUAUAAACCGAUGUGUCAGUAAUUUGACCAAGGAGUGGCUUAGCUGAAAAAAAUAUGUACCACAUUACACAUGUGUUCUCCGGGGAUAUCAUUUUUGCCUCAAUCAACUAGAAAACGUGGGAACGGGAUGCAGGAGUGGAGAACUUUGUUUUCUUCAUAUUUGCUCUGUCUGUAAAUCUCAAGAGAUUGUGUCUGAUGAGAUUUGGGGUUAGGGGGAGGCAUACUGUGCAUGAAUAAUUAAAAUGCACAAUAAUUCAAGAUACAAUCUUAUUAGAACAU
rnacentral:lncRNA from 1 species